ACAUUUUCCUUAAAAAAAAAAAAAAAUCAACAGGCUUUUUCAGGGUGAGGCUUGGCCCUUGCACUCCAGGUGAGCUGACCCUUGUGAGUUUCCCAAAUGUGGGGAAAUUGACUGUACAGUUUUAUAGUAUUGGGGGCUGUGUUUGUGCUUUCCCCUU